AACAAAAUAAGGACAGAGGACUUGAUGUGGAAAAGAGUUUAGGAAACUGGAAGCACAGAGGGAGAUGAGUGUCCUGAAGUACGGUGAACAAGAGAUACUGUGUUGAGAAGAGCUUGGAAAGACUAAGGGGUGACAGAUAUUUCAGGACCUGCAGGAAAUGGUAGGGAGUUCAGAUUUCAUUCCAGAGGCAUGGAGAAGGUGUUAAAAGUCAUGUGAAAAUCGCUAACUUAUGUUUCGGAGAGACAUUCUGCUGUGUAGAGAAUGCAGAGAAGAGGCUCUUCUGUGGCCGAGGGAAUAAUCUCGUAGAAAGAGAGAUUGAAGAUGCAGAAGAGGGAAUAACUGAAGACAAGAAGGGUUGAAGAAAGUGAAAAGGAAGGCCAUUAACAUCCCCUCCUGCCUUUGAGAGAAGCAUGAGAAUUACUCCCACAACUGUAGGAGAGAAAACAGAGCAGAAUGAGUUCCGGUGUAGGUUACAUCUGUGUCGUGUUUCUGAAGGGUCCUUUGUGGAGAGCGCAAAUACAAACAAGCCACCAUCCUUGGCCCUUCUCAGGCUCACUACCUGGGUCCUCCUUUCUUAAUCCAAGACCACUGUAUUAGCUUUCUAUAGCUGCUGUAACAAAUUACCACAAAUGCAGCAAUUGGCAACACCAUCAAUUUAUUCUCUUAACAGUCUGGAUAUCAGAAAAUGAGCAUUCAAGCAUCACAGAGUUGUGUUCCUUCUGGAGGCCCAGGGAGAGCCUGCUUCUUUGCCGUUUUCAGUUUCUAGAGGCUGCGGCAUUCGCCAACCCAUAGUGGCAUCACUCCACUGUCUGCUUCCAUCUCUACCUGCCAUUCUCCUUUUUCUGACCUCCUACCUCCCUCUUAUAAGGACCUCUGUGAUGACACUGGGCCCCCUGGGCUACACAGGAUAAUCUCCCCAUCUCAAAGUCCUUAAUUUCCUCACAUCUGCAGAGUUACCUUAUACGUUGCCAUAUAAGGUAACAUAUUCAGAGUUCCUGGGGAUUGUGACUAGGACUUUUGGGGAGCCAUUACUAGGCUGCACAGCCCCCAACUGGAAAACCAGCAUGCCUUGUCUGACCUCAUGUGAAAAGUCCCAAAACUGUAUAAUAUGGGGAAAACUCAAACUCCAUAG